rnacentral:rRNA from 1 species
CUCCAGACUCCUACGGGAGGCAGCAGUGAGGAAUAUUGGUCAAUGGGCGGGAGCCUGAACCAGCCAAGCCGCGUGAGGGAAGAAGGUACAGCGUAUCGUAAACCUCUUUUGUCAGGGAACAAAGGCGGGGACUAGUCCCCGGAUGAGGGUACCUGAAGAAAAAGCAUCGGCUAACUCCGUGCCAGCAGCCGCGGUAAUACGUAGGUGGCAAGCGUUGUCCGGAUUUACUGGGUGUAGAGGGCGUGUAGCCGGGCUGACAAGUCAGAUGUGAAAUUCCGGGGCUCAACCCCGGACCUGCAUUUGAAACUGUUGGUCUUGAGUAUCGGAGAGGCAGGCGGAAUUCCUAGUGUAGCGGUGAAAUGCGUAGAUAUUAGGAGGAACACCAGUGGCGAAGGCGGCCUGCUGGACGACAACUGACGGUGAGGCGCGAAAGCGUGGGGAGCAAACAGGAUUAGAUACCCCGGUA